rnacentral:rRNA from 1 species
GACGAACGCUGGCGGCGUGCUUAACACAUGCAGGUCGAACGGAAAGGCCCCUUUGGGGGUACUCGAGUGGCGAACGGGUGAGUAACACGUGAGUAACCUGCCCUUGACUUCGGGAUAACUUCAGGAAACUGGGGCUAAUACCGGAUAGGAAUCCUUGCUGCAUGGUGGGGGUUGGAAAGCUUCGGCGGUUUUGGAUGGACUCGCGGCUUAUCAGCUUGUUGGUGGGGUAGUGGCUUACCAAGGCUUUGACGGGUAGCCGGCCUGAGAGGGCGACCGGCCACAUUGGGACUGAGAUACGGCCCAGACUCCUACGGGAGGCAGCAGUGGGGAAUAUUGCACAAUGGGCGGAAGCCUGAUGCAGCAACGCCGCGUGCGGGAUGACGGCCUUCGGGUUGUAAACCGCUUUCAGCAGGGGCGAAGCUUGUGGUGACGGUACCUGCAGAAGAAGCACCGGCUAACUACGU